GAUGAAGAACGUAGCGAAAUGCGAUAAGUAAUGUGAAUUGCAGAAUUCAGUGAAUCAUCGAAUCUUUGAACGCACAUUGCGCCCUCUGGUAUUCCGGGGGGCAUGCCUGUUCGAGCGUCAUUAUAACCACUCAAGCUCUCGCUUGGUAUUGGAGUUCGCGAUCUCGCGGCUCCUAAAAUCAGUGGCGGUGCCUGUCGACUCUACGCGUAGUAAUACUCCUCGCGAUUGAGUCCGGUAGGUUUACUUGCCAGCAACCCCCAAUUUUUACAGGUUGACCUCGGAGCAGGUAGGGAUACCCGCUGAACUUAAGCAUAUCAAUAAGCGGAGGA
rnacentral:misc_RNA from 1 species